rnacentral:rRNA from 1 species
UCCUGAAGGGACGUUGAAGACGACGACGUUGAUAGGCCGGGUGUGUAAGCGCAGCGAUGCGUUGAGCUAACCGGUACUAAUGACCCGUGAGGCUUAACCUUACAACGCCACAGGCGUUUUG